CAACUGAGGAAUGAUAUUGAGAUGGUACGCAGCAACGACUCGACAGACUGGAGUCAAAGGUGGACCGCAUACUACAACUACUGUGGAGGAAUCAGGCUGCUGAAGAAGCUGACUGCAUUGGAGAUAAUGCAGGCCAGACUUAAAACAACGGAGGAGCUGGACCAAUUCAGCAAAACGCUGGAGGACCAGGAGUUUAGGAGGACAGUGGUGAAUCUGCUGAAACAGCUAUCUGGAUCAAUGCUGAACUCCUUUGCCAGGACGAUGCUCGG